rnacentral:rRNA from 1 species
GGCGGACGGGUGAGUAAUGUCUGGGAAACUGCCUGAUGGAGGGGGAUAACUACUGGAAACGGUAGCUAAUACCGCAUAACGUCGCAAGACCAAAGAGGGGACCUUCGGGCCUCUUGCCAUCGGAUGUGCCCAGAUGGGAUUAGCUAGUAGGUGGGGUAACGACUCACCUAGGCGACGAUCCCUAGCUGGUCUGAGAGGAUGACCAGCCACACUGGAACUGAGACACGGUCCAG